GUCAUAUCUCCAAUGACACUGUACACGUCACUACACUCAAUUGGGAAAAUGACAAUGGGAGCAUAGGGGUGCAGUAUAACUACAUGGACUGCUCCACUGCAGCAUGAGAGACUGGGAGGUAACCUGAUCCAGUCUCUGGUCUUCUUGCACUGCCAAGCAGAUAUUACUCUGUCUACAGUUGACGGCCAGCCCAUCCCCACCUGGCUGAAUCUACACUACUCGUUACGGUUAUCUCAGCGGGCAGCGGAGCGGGGACGUCAGCUGACAGCCAUUUCCCAUGAUGCCCCAGGAGGAGCCGUCAAGCUGUCCAUCCAACUGUCAGGUGACCAGUGGUUCCCAUGGUUCCCCCCUCUGCCACUCCAUUGAGCUGAAAGGCUCUAUUAUCUGUGCGUGUUGGAGAGGGACUGCUCAGGCUUUGAUAAGCUAUCACUGGUCCCAGGUGAGCGCUGCCUAACAGCACAUCACAUCAGGACAAAACGACCCAGUGAUACCUGGCAACCAAACACACCCAGUUUUAUCACAUGUCCUCAACACUCAGCAGCACACAGGCUUGUGGUUAUAAAAGUACCUUGGUGCCUCAUCUUGCCCGAGCCAGGGACAACGUGGUUGGAUGCAGCAAAAAAACUGGGACGCGUGACAAGUGUCUUCAUCUUGCAUUAAUUGCUCAAAUUGAAGCUUUGCCACAUCUCUCCAAGCUAGACGUUGCUGCGAGGUCCCUUUGAUAUGAUAAUGGCAUGCUUCUUAGCGGAGGAAAAAUGCAAAUUGCAGGCGGUAAUUUGGUGGCAUGCACCUGCCGACACGAGACUCUUCUCCUCCUUGCCAUGGCCGAAGUUCCAGCCACACACAAAAGCAGCCCACUGGUGAAAUUACACUCAUUCACUUAGGCCCGUGUCUCCAACAGAUGCUCUGUCUCCCUGUAUAGAACACCAGCUCUGGUCUACAUUUAGAUGCACAUAUUCAGUCAACAAUAUUAAAC
rnacentral:lncRNA from 1 species